CCUACGGGAGGCAGCAGUGGGGAAUAUUGGGCAAUGGGCGCAAGCCUGACCCAGCAACGCCGCGUGAAGGAUGAAGGCCUUCGGGUUGUAAACUGCUUUUAUAAGCGAGAAAUAUGAUGGUAACUUAUGAAUAAUGAUCGGCUAACUACGUGCCAGCAGCCGCGGUCAUACGUAGGAUCCGAGCAUUAUCCGGAGUGACUGGGUGUAAAGAGUUGCGUAGGUGGCAUAAUAAGUAGCUAGUGAAAUCUGGUGGCUCAACCAUUCAGACUAUUAGCUAAACUGUUAAGCUCGAGACCGUUAGGGGUAACUGGAAUUUCUAGUGUAGGAGUGAAAUCCGUAGAUAUUAGAAGGAACACCAAUAGCGUAGGCAGGUUGCUGGGACGGUUCUGACACUAAGGCACGAAAGCGUAGGGAGCAAACGGGAUUAGAUACCCUGGUAGUC
rnacentral:rRNA from 1 species